rnacentral:lncRNA from 1 species
GUGAAUUUGUAUGUAUUGCUGAAAUGUGCAUUUUGCCAUCCAGUUGCAAUUCCUGUUUUUCUGAAAACAAACCUUAAAAAUCAAGAAAGGUGAAGGACAUUUACAUAUUUAAGCUGACGGCACCCCUAACAACAAGGCAGGAUUGUUUUGUUUAGGAAAGAAUUUAAAUGAAAGAACUCUCACUAUCAGUUCUUAAUGUGAUUUUGCAGACUUGGGUUUUUCAGAAACAAAACUUAAAUUCAACUAGAUAGUUUGGGCACACCAGGAAGCAGGUAAAAACUCUGGAAACUUGGGACCGGGGAGCAGCCACGGGGGAGAAGAAGCCCGGCAAAUAAAGGAAAGUGAAGAUGACGGAGACUCCGAGGGGCAGAGGAAGGCAAGGAAGUCCAGAAAUGGAGCAGUCAAGCCCCAGAGCGUCUGUCUGCAGGGGCUGAGGACAACUUUCAAGCAAGAGGGCCAGGAGCCCAAGGCUAGCAGAGUAUCAGAAGCGUCUGGCCACCCACAGGUCAGCAGCCAGCACUCUCUCUCCCUUGAUGACAGCAGCUGGCUCCAAAAAGGACCAUAGCUGUGGAAAGGAAACCUCUAAAUGUCUGAUAAAGGCCUUUGAGGUUGGACUGGAAUUACACCUUCAGCUGGCAGAUGGCAGAUGGUGGGACUUCUCAGCUUCCAAAAAAUCACCUGGUCCAAUCCCUCAUUAUAAACCGUGCACUCUCCCUCUCUCUCUUUCUUUUGUCUGUCUCUCUAAGUGUGUGUGUGUGUGUGUGUGUGUGUGUGUGCAUCUUGACAAGGAUGUUCCAUCCAGGCCAGUGACAAACCCCAUGAUAUGGUUUGGCAGUGUCCCCAUCCAAAUCUCAUCUUGAAUUGUAGCUCCCAUAAUUCCCAUGUGUCAUGGGAGGGACCUGGUGGGAGGUCUUUCUUGUGCUGUUCUCAUGAUAGUGAAUAAGUCUCAUGAGAUCUGAUGGUUUAUAAAGGGGAGUUCCCCUGCACAAGCUCUCUCUUGCCUGCCACCAUGUAAGACAUCCCUUGCUCUUCUGCCAUGAUUGUGAGGCCAUGUGGAACUGUGAGUCCAUUAAACCUCUUUCCUUUAUAAAUUACCCAGUCUUGGUUAUAUCUUUAUUAGCAGAGUGAGAACAGACUAAUACACCCCUGAUCCCAGAAAGAUCAUUGUGCCCUUUCUCAUGUUAGUGUAGAGAAUUUGGCUGGAACACACAGACAAUUGGGUGGUCAUUGAGUUGUCCUAGAGCAAUGAUCCACUGCUAACAAGUUUUCCCCAACAAAUAUUUAAAGUAACUUAAAAAUAAUGGAAGUAAUCUCAUUACAUGAGCUUGUAUCUCCUUUAUUGUUAACAUAUUUGCAUAUUUAAACAAUAUAUCAAAGACACCUAGUUUUUAUAUGCGGAAGUGGGUAUUUCAAUAAUUCAUAUCAAAAUUUUCUGGUAAAUCUAAAAAACACAAUUUACAACAAGUUGCUCCGAAACUCUUUUAGUUGUUAAUAUACUAUUUACUCAAAAACAGGAACGAUUAAUGACAUUAAAAUGAUAGUUUACCCAAAAGUGAUUAUUUCUUGGGUGAUUCAUUUUUAUUUUAAAAUAUCAUAAUCUGAAGUAGAUCUUCAUUUAGCUAGAAACUAAAUUAUUUAGGCUAUAACAUACAUUUGUGCUAGAUUUCCUCUGAUUAAUUAAGCUUUCUUUGAUAUGUAAACACAUGUAGACUGGAAAUACUUUUGGUGAUAAGUUGUGUGGCAAACUUUUGUAGGGACUGUGUGACUUUUGGAAAGUAAUAGGUCCUAAUAUGUGAACUGCUAGUUUGAUUGAAAACCAAAAAAGUGACAUUUAUUUUCUUUGCCUUUCAUAUAAAUUAUUUAAAAUGUUGAAAUGUAAGAAUUGUAGCUGGCAGUGACCUGGUAAUCAUUUUUGUCUGGUGAAUUCUUAAAUGGUAACCAGGCAUGAGUGUUCUUAAAAUAUGUCCUAGGGCCACAUUGUUCAACCGUUUUGCUCGAAAAGCUACUGUUUAGCAAAACACGUGGAGUUCCCAAAGACCCACAGAGACCGGAUGGCAUUUCAGAAUUGAAUCCAGAUCUUUCCAUAAAAUGAAAAUAACGGAACCUUGAUCCAUGAAAGUUCAUUAUUCCUAAGCAGACCUUUGCCUUUUAAAGUGGAUCUAAGGAGAAGGUUAAAGCUAGAAUGGAGGAUAGGGCUUGAAGUAGAACAAAAUGUCCUCUAAUUAGGAUUCAACUAUAGAGGCCUCUUUGUCUCCUAUUCAGCUAGUUAUAUUUGAGUGUUGUAUUUUACUUCAACAAUAGUCUCCCUUUAGGCAUCUCCAAGAAGCAAGAACUUAAAAGGAACCUUGGUUUCUUUCAGAAAACCUCUAAAAUGAUAGAUGUUAUUCUUCUAUCCAUUUUGAAACCCCAACCAUUGGACAAAAGAUGUUUUAAAAGCUCCAGAUAUUGCCUUCUUACAUUGAUAUUAUCAACAUUCAUCGUGUUCCUAUGGAUCUACAUUAUUACAGGUUUCUUAUUUGAAAUCUCAUUGUUGAAAAAGCAUUCUAAUGACAGAAUUGGAAACCAACUAUCUGGAUUAUCUCUUCAGGACAAAUCACUCACUUUCAUUUACAACAGCUUUUUAAAGUAUUUUAGUAAGUUUCUGUUGUGUUACUUAACUUUUUUUUAGCAGUAUUUAAAGGUUAAGACUUCCCAUUUUUAUCUUGACAUUUUUAUCUCAUGUUAUAUUUGGACUGUAACCUCAUUAGUAAAAAUUUAUUUUUUCUCCUUAUUUUCUAACUAAGGGUUACUAGCAUUUAUUUUAAAGAUGAAUGUCCAAUCAGAAUCUAUCUAAUCUUAAUAUUUUAUGUAUAAUGUGAGUUCAUGUGAUUGAUGGUCAAACAUGAGGCCUAUUGUAGGAAGCUAUAAUAAAAUAAUUAGAUUAAACAGAUUAAAACAAAUGUUCUGGUUUCUUGAGAGUGGGACUAAGUCUUCAGAUAUGUAUAUUCCAGUGGAUUUCUACCUAAAGUAUCUGCUUUCUCACAGACAUGACUGGUUCUGGUGGAGAAUGUUCAUUUAUGCAUCAAAAAAAUAGAAGAUUGACUAUAAAUAUUUAAUGUGUAUUUAGUUUAAUACACGUAAUAGCCAUAAAGGCAAAUAUAGUUAGGUGCAGAUAUUAGUGUAUAGAAAUGUCUAUUUACAUAUUUGGUAAUUAUUUCCUUUCAAGGCUUAAUCUGUGUGAAGUAUUCUCUAUUAAAAGACUAAAAAAUUAGGCAACAAAAGCUUAGACUUCAUAAGUAAAGUACCCAAUUCAUCAGGGAAGCUUGAUUUUAAAAUGGGAUAUUUCUUUCCUUCCCUUCUUUCAGGCACAAAUACAUGGCUCUUUCAAUGCAAAACCAACUAGUGCCUAAUAAAAGCAAACAGAUGCCUCUCCAGCCUGAAGAAAAUGACAAUUUCUUUGGAGGGCCUCAUCUUGAAUCCUUUCCUUUCCUUAAUGACCUAACGAGAGCCAUUCUGAUGAUUGUAAGAGCCAUGACUGACAUUCCACACCUGUGGCCUACCCAGAGUCCAAUUUGACAGUGAUCAUAAAUAAAAUCUUGUCGUACUAUUAUAGGAUGUUUGGCAAGGACAAGAAUUAAGGCACCUUUACAACUCCCUAAGGAAUCUGGUGAUAUUUCUAACAUGAUCUCACACAUUCUGUCCUGCCCGACCUUCCUUGUAUCACCUUCCUGAGUUAUAGCUUGUAUCCGUUACCCUCUCCUCCUUCCACAGCCUCUCCCCAAAAUAAAGAAUUGCUGACCUGAAGAAAACAAAUCCCGUUUGUUUUGUUUUU